AUGGCUAUGGGCAUCAAGACCUGCUGUGUGGCUCUGUGUGUCCUGCUAGCAAAGGACACAAAUGCUGGGGUCGCUCAGACACCCAGGCAUGAGUUAACAAAGAGGGGACAAGCUGUAACUCUGAAAUGUGAGCCAGUUUCAGGCCACACUGACCUUUGCUGGUACAGAGAAACUGUGGUGGGGAGACUGGAAUUGCUGGCAUACUUCCGCAGCAGAACUCUUAUAAAUGAAGGGGAAAUGCCCAAGGAUCGCUUCACAGCUCAGAUGCCUGAUGCAUCGUUCUCCACCCUGAAGAUCCAUCCCGCAGAACCCAGUGACACAGCUGUGUAUCUCUGCGCCAGCAGCUUAGCCACAGCAUUGUGGAGCCAUCCCCUGCCAGCUCAGAAACCCUGGGGUGUCCCCUUCUCCCUCUAG